rnacentral:rRNA from 1 species
GUUAAAAAGCUCGUAGUUGGAUUUCUGCGUCGGGACACGCAAUGCGUGGCCAUAACGGCCUAGCAUCAGCGGGUUCUUGCGCUUUUUGCCUUUAACUUCGCUGGCCUUCGCUGGUCGGCGCUGGGGACGGGCUCGUUUACUUUGAGAAAAAUAGAGUGUUCAAAGCAGGCUUUGCGCCUUGAAUAACUUAGCAUGGAAUAAUAACAAAGGACCUUGGUUCCUGUUGUUGGUGUUCGGUACCUCGGUAAUGAUUGAUAGGGACAGUUGGGGGCGUCAGUAUUCCGAGGUCAGAGGUGAAAUUCAUAGAUUCUCGGAAGACUAGCAGAUGCGAAAGCGUUCGCCAUGGAUGUACUCUUUGAUCAAGAACGAAAGUUGGGGGAUCGAAGACGAUCAGAUACCGUCGUAGUCUCAACUAAAAACUAUACCAGCUAGGGAUCGGGCAACGCCGCAAUCCAGAAGGCUUGCUCGGCACCUUAUGAGAAAUCAAAGCAUUUGGGUUCCGGGGGGAGUAUGGUCGCAAGGCUGAAACUUAAAGGAAUUGACGGAAGGGCACCACCAGGUGUGGAGCCUGUGGCUUAAUUUGACUCAAC